AUGGACGGUGGAAUCACUCAGAGCCCAAAAUAUCUGAUCAGAGAGGAAAGACGAGAUGUGAGCCUGGAAUGUGAACAGAAUUUGGAUUACGAUGCCAUGUACUGGUACCGACAGGACCCAGGGCAGGGGCUGAGACUGAUCCACUAUUCGCUGUUUGUAAAAGGUGUUCAGAAAGGAGACAUAUCUGAAGGCUACAGUGCCUCCCGGGAGAAGAAGGCAUCUUUUCCUCUCACUGUGAAAUCAACUCAAAAGAACCAGACAGCCCUGUAUCUCUGUGCCUAUAGUAGAGACAUAGUGAUGAAAGGCCGCUUCCUCUCUGUGCAUAAACAUGUCCCAAGAUCCGCUUCCCCACCAGGUGGCAGGGCUUUUCUGGACUCAGUACCCUGA